CUAAUUUGAAGGAAGACCUGAUUCUGCUGGCCGUUAAACUCUUCCUGGCUUCUUCUCCUCGGUGCCGGAGCAGCAGAUCCCACAUCGGCCCGUUUUCCUCCAGGUUUUGGAAGAAAAAAUCCAAACGGGGAAAAACUUCAGCUGCUUUAACAGUUGGCAGUGAGCAGCUGCGGUUCGUAAAGGACUUUUAAAAAACUAAUUUGAUUCCGUUUUUAAAAUGUCACCUUUAAAAGCAAACAGUGAGACCUGAGGAGGAGGGACUGGCUGUCGGUCUGCAUGCAGAGGGAGGCGGUCUGGAGGUGAAGCGUAUUUACAGACGCCGCUUCCAUCAUCCCAUCACCAGAGAGACGAGAGGGAGGCGGAGUUCCUCAGGGACGUCGCCUUGUUCUCUCCAUCAACCUGGAGAAGAGUUGCAGCUCAGAGAUGUUUCACUGCAUUUGAUUUGGCUGCAGAAAAAAACCAGUAUGGAACUACAUUGGUGGAAAAACCUGGAAGAAAAGCUGGACCUGCAGCCUGUUGGACGUACCGCGUCACUCUGCCUCCUGGACGGCGCCGCAGUUUUCUUUACUCUCUGAAGCCACGGCUAAAUACUCGGCCCUGCAGGACAAAGACGCACUGAAACACAUCUGGAUCUGGAUCUGGAUCUGGAUCCUGGAUCUGGAUCUGGAUCCUGGAUCCUGGUUCUGGAUCUGGAUCUGGAUCCUGGAUCCUGGAUCUGGAUCUGGAUCUGGAUCUGGAUCCUGGAUCCUGGAUCUGGUCCGGGUCACUCACUCGGUCUCCCUCAGCGCCUCCUCUCCGGCCGCUGAGAUCU